CAACUUCCACCUGGCUUACCUCCNUCAGUUAUGCGUCAUGACUUGUAUCGUCUUGAGCGUAUUGUGGGUUUCCUGUGUUGCAUACCUUUCUAAUGGUAUCGUGCUGAUUGAUCGAAGUCCCUUUUCAUCUUGUGUUGCUUUUUGUGACGCAUGAUGAACAUCGAGGCGGUCUCUAUGUUCCACCACGUUGAUGCUCCUGUUUCAAUGUUGUGGCCCAUUGAGUGUUGCUUGGUUUCGUGGAUACAGAACAUGAUUUGGGCAUAGGGUUACUUGUGACUCUUGUUCUGUCCUUUAUCAGUGUUCUUUAUAACGACGGUUCAUGCGC
rnacentral:misc_RNA from 1 species